rnacentral:rRNA from 1 species
AUUGAACGCUGGCGGCAUGCUUUACACAUGCAAGUCGAACGGCAGCGCGGGGCAACCUGGCGGCGAGUGGCGCACGGGUGAGUAAUAUAUCGGAACGUACCCAGAAGUGGGGGAUAACGUAGCGCAAGUUACGCUAAUACCGCAUACGAUCUACGGAUGAAAGUAGGGGACCGCAAGGCCUUAUGCUUUUGGAGCGGCCGAUAUCUGAUUAGCUAGUUGGUGAGGUAAAGGCUCGCCAAGGCGACGAUCAGUAGCUGGUCUGAGAGGACGACCAGCCACACUGGAACUGAGACACGGUCCAGACUCCUACGGGAGGCAGCAGUGGGGAAUUUUGGACAAUGGGCGCAAGCCUGAUCCAGCAAUGCCGCGUGAGUGAAGAAGGCCUACGGGUUGUAAAGCUCUUUUGUCAGGGAAGAAACGUUAGAGGCUAAUAUCCUUUGCUAAUGACGGUACCUGAAGAAUAAGCACCGGCUAACUACGUG